ACACGUGAGUGUGUAGACUUUGGAGGAGAAGAGAGGAAAUACAGGAACCAGGCAGCAAGGCAGCCUCUUCCACACCGGCCCCCGCCAGCCUGGACUCAGGGCUACGCACCCACCCCACCAAGGCCCACCGGGGCCUCGGCCCCGCCUCCACGGUUCUUCCCAAGGACCCUUCCACCAGCGGCCGGCAGCUGGGAGAGGACACGGUGAGCAGGCUGGGGGCCCCCUGGCUGGCUCAGCCGCCCGCCGGGCAGCAGGUCGGAGCAAGUUCCAGCUGCCGUGUCUCCCCUCGGCCCCCGCUCACCUGGCCACAGGCCCAGAGACCAAGGACGAAGGCCCCUCCUGUGCCAACCCAAGGAGCAGCCCCCUCCCCUCCGCUGAGUCAGGCCAGCCCCUCCACACCGCACACUCUGGACCGGUUCUCCCAGCCAGAGCUCCGCAGCCCCGGACUCAAGCAGGACAGCGGGUGCACCUGGGUUAGAAGGCAGCUGCCGGCACUGGGCUGAGCCCCCUCCACCUGGGACCCGGGAGCUCCCGACGGGUGUGGCGGCAGCGCCAGCCUCCUCCUCUGCGAGUACAAGUCCUCAGGGAGCCUCCCCUCCCCCACCCACCCCCUCCCCCUCCCCCUCGGGCACCAGGCUCCCAAACCACAGGCCUGUUGUCUAAUAAUACCAGCGCCAGCCACCACCUCCAUCUGCCAGCCUAAAAAUAAUCCCUGCUGAGUCCAAAAAAGGCACAGCCCCCAACAGUCCCCCAGUCCCUCCCUGAUACGCCAGGGGGUUCCAGGAGAUUCCAGGGAGCUUGUGAUCGGGCUCCACCAGAACAGCACCCACCCCCUACCUGGGGGGUGCAGAGCCAGAGGCUUGCACGAGGAAAGCGGAGGACAGACGUAUCACCCAAAGCCGAGAGUGAGAUGGAGGAAUGGCCGUGUCCACGUCAGGCCGCACCCUGGUUGUCCUUCCCAGAAGGCAGGUGGGACAGAGGGCACCAGGACAGCCUGCCUCGGGCCAGGACCUCCACCCCUGCCCGGGCAGAUCCUCGGAGAGGUCCCCACCUUCUGCGGUCUCCCCGGCGCUGUCCUCACGGCCCUUCGGCCCCCGCUCCCCAUCAGACUUUCAGGGCCCAAGUCAAAGGUCAGUUGAGCCCACCCUGGCCCUGGCUGGGAACCUUCCCAUUUCCUCUCGAGGCCCUGGGGGAGGGGCAGGAUCUGCAGGCCCCCUCCUCCGUGGGCUCCCCUCCAUCCUAACCCUCCUGACCCA